rnacentral:rRNA from 1 species
ACGGCUCAGUAACACGUAGCUAACCUACCCUUGGGACGGGUACAACCCCGGGAAACUGAGGUUAAUACCCGAUAGGUGUGAAUUCCUGGAAUGGUUUCACGCCCAAAUGUAAGCGCAUCCACGUUUGCGUGCACGCCCAAGGAUGGGGCUGCGGCCGAUCAGGCAGUUGGUGAGGUAACGGCUCACCAAACCUUUGACCGGUACGGGCCAUGAGAGUGGUAGCCCGGAGAUGGGCACUGAGACAAGGGCCCAGGCCCUACGGGGCGCAGCAGGCGCGAAACCUCCACAAUUCACGAAAGUGAGAUGGGGUUACCUCGAGUGCCGCCUGAUGAAGGCGGCUUUUCCAUUGUGUAAUGAGCCGUGGGAAUAAGAGGGGGGCAAGACUGGUGUCAGCCGCCGCGGUAACACCAGCCCCUCGAGUGGUGGGGAUGAUUAUUUGGCCCAAAGCGUCCGUAGCCGGCCCUGUAAAUCUCUCGUUAAAUCCAGCGUCCUAAGCGUUGGGCUGCGAGAGAAACUGCAGAGCUAGAGGGUGGGAGAGGUCAGCGGUAUUCCUGGGGUAGGGGCGAAAUCCAUUGAUCCCAGGAGGACCACCAGUGGCGAAGGCUGCUGACUUGAACACGCCUGACGGUGAGGGACGAAAGCUGGGGUAGCGAAUCGGAUUAGAUACCCGAGUAGUCCCAGCCGUAAACGAUGCAGGCUAGGUGUUGGGUUGGCCACGUGCUAGCUCAGUGCCACAGGGAAGCCAUUAAGCCUGCCGCCUGGGGAGUACGGCCGCAAGGCUGAAACUUAAAGGAAUUGGCGGGGGAGCACCACCAGGCGUGAAGCCUGCGGUUUAAUUGGAGUCAACGCCGGGAAUC